UUAAAAGAUACAAUUUUUGGGGCGGCUCGAACGGCCGGAGUGAGAUGGGUCAAAGUCAGAGUGGUGGUCAUGGUCCUGGAGGUGGCAAGAAGGAUGACAAGGACAAGAAAAAGAAAUAUGAACCUCCUGUACCAACUCGAGUUGGGGAAAAGAAGAAGAAAACAAAGGGACCAGAUGCUGCCAGCAAACUGCCCCUGGUGACACCUCACACUCAGUGCCGGUUAAAAUUACUGAAGCUAGAGAGAAUUAAAGACUAUCUUCUCAUGGAGGAAGAAUUCAUUAGAAAUCAGGAGCAAAUGAAGCCCUUAGAAGAAAAGCGAGAGGAGGAAAGGUCGAAGGUGGAUGACCUGAGGGGGACCCCGAUGUCGGUGGGAACCCUGGAGGAGAUCAUCGACGACUACCACGCCAUCGUGUCGACGUCGGUGGGCUCGGAGCACUACGUCAGCAUCCUCUCGUUUGUAGACAAGGAUCUGUUGGAGCCCGGCUGCUCGGUCCUGCUCAACCACAAGGUGCACGCGGUGAUCGGAGUGCUGAUGGACGACAUGGAUCCCUUGGUCACGGUGAUGAAGGUGGAAAAGGCGCCCCAGGAGACCUGUGCUGAUGUUGGGGGGCUGGACAACCAAAUCCAGGAAAUUAAGGAAUCUGUGGAGCUUCCUCCCACUCAUCCUGAAUAUUAUGAAGAGAUGGGGAUCAAGCCCCCCAAGGGGGUCAUUCUCUACGGCCCGCCCAGCACAGGUAAAACCUUAUUAGCCAAAGCAGUAGCGAACCAAACCUGAGCCACUUUCCUGCGAGUGGUUGGCUCUGAACUUAUUCAGAAGUACCUGGGCGAUGGCCCCAAACUCGUUCGGGAACUGUUUCGAGUUGCUGAAGAACAAGCACCAUCCAUCGUGUUUAUUGAUGAAAUUGAUGCUAUUGGGACAAAAAGGUACGACUCCAACUCGGGUGGGGAGAGAGAGAUUCAGCGCACGAUGCUGGAGCUGCUGAACCAGCUGGACGGGUUUGACUCGAGGGGAGACGUGAAAGUCAUCAUGGCCACAAACCGCAUAGAGACCCUGGACCCGGCCCUCAUCAGACCAGGCCGCAUUGACAGGAAGAUCGAGUUCCCCCUGCCCGAUGAGAAGACCAAGAAGCGCAUCUUCCAGAUCUACACGAGCAGGAUGACACUGGCCAACGACGUGACCCUGGAUGACCUGAUCAUGGCUAAAGAUGACCUCUCUGGUGCCGACAUCAAGGCAAUCUGCACAGAAGCUGGUCUGAUGGCCUUGAGAGAGCGCAGAAUGAAAGUAACAAAUGAAGACUUCAAAAAGUCGAAGGAAAAUGUUCUUUAUAAAAAACAGGAAGGCACCCCGGAGGGGCUCUAUCUGUAGUGGACCAGAGUUAACUUCCAGGAAAGGCUGGGAGGGUCCCGGCCCCUGGGGUGAGGUUGGGAGCUGCCUGGGCCCCAUGUGCCACUGGCCGUGGUUGGCGGAGCGUCCCGCGUCCCUCCCAAGCGCGCAUGUAGGGCCCUGGUGGGCUGCCAGCAUCCCAAUAAAGCAUUCUUUCUCCUAAAAAAA